CCAGCUCUCUUUGCCAAUAUGGCUUAGAUCAAGUGUAGUAUCUGUUCU
rnacentral:snRNA from 1 species